CGUAUCCGAGUGGUUAAGGCGCCGGCCUCUGAAGCAUAAGGUCCUGUGUUCGAUUCUUGG
rnacentral:tRNA from 11 species